rnacentral:rRNA from 1 species
UGGAUCCUGCCGGACCCUACUGCUAUCGGGGUGGGACUAAGACAUGCUAGUCGUGCGCCUCCUAGCCAUGGUGGAGGCGCGGCACACAGCUCAGUAACACGUGGCUAACCUGCCCUUGGGACGGAAACACCCCCGGGAAACUGGGGCUAAUCCGCGAUAGAAGAGAACUCCUGGAACGGGUUCUCGUCCAAAGGGCACCGAAAUCAUGCUUUCGGCGUCGCUCAAGGAUGGGGCCGCGGCCGAUCAGGCUGUUGGUGAGGCAAUGGCUCACCAAACCUUUAACCGGUACGGGCCGUGGGAGCGGGAGCCCGGAGAUGGGAACUGAGACAAGGUCCCAGGCCCUACGGGGCGCAGCAGUCGCGAAAACUCGUCAAUGCACGAAAGUGUGAACGGGCUACCCCGAGUGCCGUCCGCUGAGGAUGGCUUUUCUCUGCUGUAAGGAGGCGGAGGAAUAAGGCGAGGGCAAGUCUGGUGUCAGCCGCCGCGGUAAUACCAGCUCGCCGAGUGGUGGGGAUGAUUAUUGGGCUUAAAGCGUCCGUAGCCGGCCUUUCAAGUCUCUUGUUAAAUCCAGCGAUUCAAUCGUUGGACUGCGGGAGAUACUGUUAGGCUAGGGGGCGGGAGAAGCCGACGGUAUUUCCGGGGUAGGGGUAAAAUCCUAUAAUCCCGGGAAGACCACCAGUGGCGUAGGCGGUCGGCUAGCACGCGCUCGACGGUGAGGGACGAAAGCUGGGGGAGCGAACCGGAUUAGAUACCCGGGUAGUCCCAGUUGUAAACGAUGCGGGCUAGGUGUUGGAGUGGCUACGAGCCACUUCAGUGCCGCAGGGAAGCCAUUAAGCCUGCCGCCUGGGGAGUACGGCCGCAAGGCUGAAACUUAAAGGAAUUGGCGGGGGAGCACCACAAGGGGUGAAGCUUGCGGUUUAAUUGGAGUCAACGCCGG